AGGAGGCUCAGUGAAAUGGGCGCUGCCCUGGAGUCGGGACCAGAUUCUACUGCUGAUCAUUGUUACCUUCAUGACUCUAGGCUCCAUGCUAUGAACUUCCAACUACUCAUUUGUGAGACAACUGACUUGGACACUCAUCCUCUAGAUGCUAUUGCUGUCAUCUUCAUAUCUUGUACUUCCCCUUCUGGCCUGAACACCCAUGAACAUAGGGAUGACUCUACAAUCCUUGUCAGCUUGAAGCAGCUCCAGAAGAUGAGACCUUCAACCCUUUGUGCCAAAUGAAUUUGAGGUGACUACUUGAGGGGGAAGUGAUGUAAACUGAGAUCUUGGGGGAAGAAGGGUGGUUCUGGGCUAGAAAUCUCAAACCCCUCUAAGAGGGAUCCUACUCUCCUGUUCAUAGGGGAAACUCCCAGAUAAGUAAUUUCAUUCAAUUCAAUUAGAGAUCUUGUCUUGGGACAUAA